ACUGGUCUUCAGCCAAGGGUAUACAAGUAGCUGUGUUCCCAUGCUAGAAUCUCCAAACAAGCUCUCAAGGUCCAUUGUAGGAAUGUAGGGUAGUAAAGCUUAUGGACUACUCAAAGAACUGUGGACCUUGGCGUGGGCCGGGGAAUCCACUACUU
rnacentral:snRNA from 1 species